GAUGAACGCUGGCGGCGUGCCUAAUACAUGCAAGUCGAGCGAACAGACGAGGAGCUUUCUCCUCUGACGUUAGCGGCGGACGGGUGAGUAACACGUGGAUAACCUACCUAUAAGACUGGGAUAACUUCGGGAAACCGGAGCUAAUACCGGAUAAUAUAUUGAACCUCAUUGUUCAAUAGUGAAAGACGGUUUUGCUGUCACUUAUAGAUGGAUCCGCGCCGCAUUAGCUAGUUGGUAAGGUAACGGCUUACCAAGGCAACGAUGCGUAGCCGACCUGAGAGGGUGAUCGGCCACACUGGAACUGAGACACGGUCCAGACUCCUACGGGAGGCAGCAGUAGGGAAUCUUCCGCAAUGGGCGAAAGCCUGACGGAGCAACGCCGCGUGAGUGAUGAAGGUCUUCGGAUCGUAAAACUCUGUUAUUAGGGAAGAACAAAUGUGUAAGUAACUAUGCACGUCUUGACGGUACCUAAUCAGAAAGCCACGGCUAACUACGUG
rnacentral:rRNA from 1 species